AGAAAAUGAACACAAUUCAAUGGAUAUCAAUCAACAAAGAGGUAUACAGAUGAGGAGGCCUACAAAGGUAUGUCAAUAGGUAUUGGUAUGUUAUGCAGAUCAUCCUCCUCCCUUACUUCUUCAAUGAAAAUAUCAUAGGCCUCUACGUUAUGGACAAGGUAUGUGCAUGAAUACCAUUAUCAAAACAGUUUUUUUCAUUCAUAUUUACCACAAAAACCAAGGUAUAAAAUAGUGUCGUAUGCAUGUUUUGUUAAUCAUCUGUAUAACUACAAUUUUUGGGAUUCACAGACUUCACCCUCCCUACACCUCUGAUGAAUAUAUCAGGAAACCUGUUUGAUCACCAUGAACUGCAAAAUCAUUCGGUCUAUGGAUACGGAGAACAUCAACACAUUAACAUCAACAGGACAAAGGAUAUACACAUUGGACUUGGGGCUCUGCUGGGAGUUUGCCUCAUAUUUAGAUGUUUUUUAUUCUGCUUUGCCACUAAAAUCAUAAUCAACACUGACAACUAAAAUAUUGUAUUAUUGUUAUGUGUAUGAUAAUGAUAAUUAAUAAUAAUUGGGGAGGGGGGUAGUUAAAAAAUGAACCCCAAAAGGUUCUUCAAAAGGUUAUUUGAGGAUCCGUUAAAAGGGGUUCUUUGAAGAACUUCAGGGGUUCCCACCCAGUUUCAAUUGGAAGAACCCCUAAAGGAUACUCCAGAAACCUUCUAUUUUUAGAGUGUGGUUAUACUGUAAGCCUAUCAAAGAUGGUGGAUGAAUGAAGAUGUCUUACUCAGGCAGUUUACCAUUGGAAAAAAUGGUCAAGGUUCCUGUCUGUGUAAGUUGGCGUUCCCAUGUGAGACCAAUGGCUCUGGUCUACUUAUUGUCUCUUCCCACUCUCCCCACCCACAGGGGGAAAUAAGUAGACCAGAGUGGCGCCGCCCCCAGAGUGGGAUGUCUUGCUUUCUCUACCGCCUCUGGAUCUAUACUGUAUUACUUACCCUUAAAUGUACCUAUUGGUGCUUUGUUUCCAUCCCACAUAAUUGAUUUUUAAGGACAAUACAUAGGCCAGUACCUAAAUUAUUUUUACAAAACCACACACACAAUGGUUUUGACUUGUAGAUAUGACUGAAUGAUUUUGUCACGUUGUUUCUUAUUGUGUUGCUGUAAGCCUAUGUGUAGGCCUGUGUUUUGUCUAUUACAAUAAAUUGUUUGAACUAAA